CACCCACGGAGGUAAAUGUCCUUAUGUUAUUUACCGGAGAUAGAACUGAGCCUCAAAGAGGUUGGGUGAUUUGCCGAAACGAUGCAGCAGUAUUUAUACAUCCAGCAUAGCAUUGAAGCCGGGACAUGCAAGGAUCUGAGCCAAGACCCCCAGGGAGAUCACUUCAGAUCCAUGAUUCUUUGAAACACUCAUUGAAGGCCUGUCAGCAGACCGGUGGAAUUACUGGCACUUUGAACAACACGUAAAGCCGAACAUCUACCCCAAAGACCCAGAUAUUGACACGGACCCACUUUUUCUCCUUGGAGAUUCACAACCUGUCAAGGUACACUUAGAAAUCUUGAGCACCGAGGAAAUGUUCCUGGAAGUGGUUCGUGGAAAGGCUUACAGCCUUGCCUUGGAAAGAUCAAGCUGGAAAUUCUGGCUUCACACACAAUCUGAGAACAUCUCUCCUUCUUUUAGGUUCAAAAUACAGAUUUGAAAUAACUGAAUCUGGGGCUGUAAGAAUACAAGGCGAUUUAGAGCCGUAACCAUUAAGUCUAUGACCUUACAGAUCAUCCAGUCCAACCUCCCACGGCAGGAAAUAUGGAAAUCCACAUUACUCUGAGCAAUCCCAGUGACAGAUGGGUCCCUGCCCAGUGCCUGUCAUUUCCUCUGAGGCAAUACAAGCCAAUGUUAGAUCGUGGAACCAGAUGACUGAAGUUGCAAUGACUGUCUGAGGUUUAAACAGGGCAUGGAGAAACAUUCACUGAGAGAAUAUAGGUCAAUAUAUUCAAUAAGCACUAGGUCACAUACGUUCACAUAGCUAGUUAUCUCAACUAAUUCUAGCCCAGUUAGAAAAGACUAUGCUGUUAUAUUUAGUUCAUGUUCAUUUUGGUGCAUUUACACAUGAACUACAGCCCAAAUGCCAUGGAAGAGAUCUACAGGUCUCACCUCUAAUUUGAGCUUCUUAAACAACAGAAAAAAGGAGGGGGAAAACCAUCUUCAGAAUUUCUCAGUUAAUUAUUACUUUUUAAAACUCCAACUUAUUUCUGAGGGCUCUGUUCUGUUCCAUUGAUCUAUAUCUCUGUUUUGGUACCAGUACCAUGCUGUUUUGGUUACUGUAGCCUUGUAGUA
rnacentral:lncRNA from 1 species